UACGGGGGGGGCGAAGCGUUGUUCGGAAUUACUGGGCGUAAAGGGCUCGUAGGUGGCCAACUAAGUCAGACGUGAAAUCCCUCAGCUUAACUGGGGAACUGCGUCUGAUACUGGAUGGCUUGAGUUUGGGAGAGGGAUGCGGAAUUCCAGGUGUAGCGGUGAAAUGCGUAGAUAUCUGGAGGAACACCGGUGGCGAAGGCGGCAUCCUGGACCAAUACUGACACUGAGGAGCGAAAGCCAGGGGAGCAAACGGG
rnacentral:rRNA from 1 species